UGUGCGCGCCGGUGCGGGCGGCAGCAGUAAACAUGUUCUACCGAGUGCGUAGUUCCAGCAGCGCUACUUCACCUCUUCGCGAUUUGUUAAUUAUGACGAUUCCAGCGUCUACGGAAGCUCGCUCCCUGUGGAACUGGAGAUAAUUUGUCGUUCGAAGUCUUAUCUUAAAGAACAAUGUACGUCUCUGCAGACUGGCAUAUGGACGUAGCUGGCAUGGACCAGUCGUGCCUGCACGAGGGCCUGCCCGCCGUGCCCGGGGGGCUGCCACUGCUGGCGGUCCACGCGGCCGUGGACGGCGUCAUGCUGCUGCUCAUGCUGGCGACGAACGCGUCGAUCGUGGCGGCCAUCGUCCGCCAGCGCCGCCGCCUCGCCGGCGUCUCCCUGUCGGCGCGCUUCGCCGCCAACCUCGCGGCAGCGGACGCGUUCGUCGGCGCUGCCACCGUCUUCUACCUGUCCUACCGCUACGUGUGCGCCUCGAGGGUGGGGCUCGGUGGCUACAAGUACACGUGCGUGUUACGCUUCGUGGUCGUCAGCAGCGCCCACAUGACCUCGGCCUACAGCCUCGUGGCCAUAGCUGUCGACCGCUACAUCGCAGUUGUGCACGCACUCCGCUACAAGGAAAUCAUGAACGUCAGGCGAUGGGCUGUCAUAAUUGCAACUGUAUGGCUGGCCUCCACAAUGAUAAAUCUAUCACUCUUUGCGUGGAAUAAAUGGGAGCCUGGAGCUGAAUGCGAACUGGACAAAAUCGUUCCUCUGGGUUACAUGAUAGCAGCCGGGAUCGCAACCCACGGCGGCAUCAUCGUGGUCGUGGCACUGGUGCAUUACCGGAUUCACAGGGAGGCAGUUGCGGUGAAGUGCCGACGACUGACGGGCGACAACCAGCCAUGCCCCGGGGGGUCGGCGGCCAACGUGCUGCGACGCACCAUGAACACCAAGUCUGCUCGCGUCCUCCUUCUCGUUACCUGCGUCUACCUGGGCUGCUGGGCGCCCUACACGCUUCUCUAUCUCGUUAAGGUCUCCGGAAUCUCAUCCCCAGCCAUCGACCUUGCCCAGAACCUCGCCUAUACUUUCGCCAACAUCAAUUACCUCGUCAACCCAUUCAUCUAUUCGUGGAAGAACGCGAAUGUUCGUCAGUGUAUUGUAAGGACCCUCCAAGACCUGGGACUCUACGACAAAUCUGUAUUGAGUAAUGCAGUCAAGAGUAAUGUUUCUGACAGGAGGACUAGCAGCAGGACACCGUCGAGUGAGCAAAUUAUUCCUACUUAGUGGUCCAUCAUUCCAGUGUUUCGUUUAUCAUUCAGGAUUCGUCAUUCGAUUCGUAGCGAAGUGUGCUGCGGGUAUUUUGUAAAUGGACGAAGUAGCAGGAGAAACGAUCUGUUGAAAAAUGUCGUUUGUCCGUCGCCAGUGGCAGUGUAAUGUGCAAAAUCUGUUGAAAAAUGUCCAUCCAAAGUGCAUUUCAGCAACAGUCAGAGACGUAUCCAGAACAUUACCAUUGUAUAAGAAAGACAUAGCAUAUAAUUAGUGAAACUGCUGAUACACAUUUAAUUAUGAAGUAUUACUACAGCGUGUAUGAUGUAGCACUAAAUUAGGUUGUCAGUCCUAGAUGGCAACUGAGAAGUGCAAAAAUGCAAAAUUGUGCUUUGUGCCUUUGGACCACACGGAAAUUGAAUAUCCAAGAAAUCAGUGACACAACUUUUUUGUAAAUGUUCAUGUAUUAAAUAUGGAUGCAGAUAUAGUGUGGAUAUAGAUGGAGAUGAAGCUGGUUCACCAUACAGUCUACAGGUAACAGGAUGAUGCACAUAUGCCACAGUCUCAAAACUGAUAACAGUGUGCUUUAGACCCUUGUGGUUCUCAGCACCUCAAAUGUUUUAUUUUAUCUGCUACACAAUCAACUUAUUUUUCACAAUUAAUCUGGCUGUGGUUCUUGGUACUAGAUGAACUGAGUUAAUUUAGAUGAUAUAAAAUGAUUUGUGUGUAGAUUGUAAUUCAUGC
rnacentral:misc_RNA from 1 species